rnacentral:lncRNA from 7 species
GGCAAACUAGAGAGUCGUGCUGAGAAAAGUAGUCCAGCAUGCCUGGUGUUGCAAGCUACAUAUGGGCCCCUUCCCUGUUUGAUCUAGCUCAACUUUGGCUGUUGUAUUUAGUUCUCUACCGAGGCUUGCUUGUCCUGUUAUGCAUGUCUCCUAAUUCCCCAUGAACACACACACACUGAAGAGCAAAAAGUAUGCUAACUGCUAACCUCAUUUGGGUUUCUGGUUUCCUAU